UAACAAUGAAUCUGCUACGGAGUUUGAUUAUGAUGAAUAUAAAGAAUUAAAAUCAAAAACUGUUGGGGAAGAAAGGGAAGAAACGGACGCAUGGGAGGGAAUUUACAAAGGUGUCAUAGCAUUUGGAUGUAAAAAAGUACUUUUGAAAUUAAAAUCGUUCAUUGGGACGUAUAUAUAAUAUCCUGGAGAACUUUUAUACAGUAUAUCUGGAAAAACUAAAUGUGCUUCACUCACACUUGUGUACUUGGGAUGAGAUCCAACAAAUAUGGAUAAAAUGGACAGAAGGAAGCUGUAGAGGAAGUCAAGGAUGUGUAAGUUCCAAAUGACAACUUAGGAUGACCUUGCAUGCAAAAAUUUAGGGAGAGAAGACUACCCUCACGAUUCAUGAAGUUAUUAGUUUGACUCUUGGAUCAAAGAAAGGUUGAGCCACAGUCUAAAAGUAGAAUGUAGAAUCAAAUUUAGUUGGCUCCAACCUGGAAAUGCUUCACAGUUAUAAAUUUAAAGGAGUUGGCUCUUAUAUAAGUUCUAUCGCACCCACAGUUUAAAUUUGUCAUCUAACCCUAAUUAACUAAAGUAAUAUUAAGAUUAUUGAUAUU